rnacentral:rRNA from 1 species
UACGGGGGGGGGCAAGCGUUUGUUCGGAAUUACUGGGCGUAAAGGGUUCGUAGGUGGCCAACUAAGUCAGACGUGAAAUCCCUCAGCUUAACUGGGGAACUGCGUCUGAUACUGGAUGGCUUGAGUUUGGGAGAGGGAUGCGGAAUUCCAGGUGUAGCGGUGAAAUGCGUAGAUAUCGAGAGGAACACCUGCGGCGAAGGCGGGUGCUGGGCUGAUACUGACGCUGAGGCGCGAAAGCUAGGAGAGCGAACGGG